rnacentral:rRNA from 1 species
AACGAACGCUGGCGGCAUGCCUAACACAUGCAAGUCGAACGAGACCUUCGGGUCUAGUGGCGCACGGGUGCGUAACGCGUGGGAACCUGCCCUUAGGUUCGGAAUAACUCCCCGAAAGGGGUGCUAAUACCGGAUAAUGUCUUCGGACCAAAGAUUUAUCGCCUUUGGAUGGGCCCGCGUUGGAUUAGCUAGUUGGUAGGGUAAAAGCCUACCAAGGCGACGAUCCAUAGCUGGUCUGAGAGGAUGAUCAGCCACACUGGGACUGAGACACGGCCCAGACUCCUACGGGAGGCAGCAGUGGGGAAUAUAGGACAAUGGGCGAGAGGCUGAUCCAGCAAUGCCGCGUGAGUGAUGAAGGCCUUAGGGUUGUAAAGCUCUUUUACCCGGGAUGAUAAUGACAGUACCGGGAGAAUAAGCUCCGGCUAACUCCGUG